AUUGAACGCUGGCGGCAGGCCUAACACAUGCAAGUCGAACGAGUGGCGGACGGGUGAGUAAUGUCUGGGAAACUGCCCGAUGGAGGGGGAUAACUACUGGAAACGGUAGCUAAUACCGCAUACCAUCGGAUGUGCCCAGAUGGGAUUAGCUUGUAGGUGAGGUAACGGCUCACCUAGGCGACGAUCCCUAGCUGGUCUGAGAGGUUGAACAGCAACGCGGGAACUGAGAAACGGUCCAGAGUCCUACGGGGUGCAGCAGUGGGGAAGAGUGCACAAUGGGCGUAAGCCUGAUGCAGCCAUGCCGCGUGGGUGAAGAAGGCCUUCGGGUUGUAAAGGACGUUCAGCGGGGAGGCGUUACCCGCAGAAGAAGCACCUGCUAACUCCGUGCCAGCAGCCGCGGUAAUUC
rnacentral:rRNA from 1 species